rnacentral:lncRNA from 1 species
GAACAGUGAUGUCAAACUAGUGAAGGAACUACAUAGAAAUGGGCUCAAAUGCAGUUGAAAUGAUUUGCUCCAGAUAUUAGGUCUAAGAUCUUAACUGAAAAAGAGAAGGAAAAUGAUAUUGAUUCCAACAAAUGAUGAUUUACCGUUUCGCUAAAUGUGAGGCAGCACUUGAUUGACAAACUGCAAAGUGCAAGCUUAGAGAGAAGCAGAUGACUUUCAGAGACUCUGUGGUAUCUUGGUUCCCGGUGCUUGCAUCUGGGGAGCUGAAUCAAGACCUGAAGGUAAAUAGGGAAGUUAGAAAUUUCUUGUUACAAGGUCAGAUUUUCUGCGGGAAUAGCGGAGCUGCAAAUCAGGUAUCCCAUUUAUAAAAUAUAUCUGAAAAGGCAUUUGACUGAGUGGAGUGGCUACACCUAGUUAUAAAAGCUCAAGAAUG